rnacentral:tRNA from 1 species
ACCGCUGUAGCUCAAGGCAAGAGCACGCGCCUUUUAAGCGAUGAGGUGGGGGUUCGAGUCCCUCUGGCGGUACCA